rnacentral:lncRNA from 1 species
UCCCACCUUCUCAAUUCCACGAAGUGUAACUACUGGUGGCUUUACAUCAGCAAGUUCACCAACAGUGAUAUUUCUCAUCCAUGGCUCAGGGUUGGCAUCCAAGAAAGGUAGACCUUUCAGCUCCAAUAUUAUUUCAUAAAUACUUAGAUUGAAGCAGUCUCCUACACUCUUGGAAAUAAGAAGAACAAGCAUUGUUAUUGGCAGAAGGAGAAGAUUGUUUGUCAGCUCAAGAAAUAUGACGCAAAGAGAAACAGUCAUUCUCAUUGAACCAGCCAUAAGGGAAGCUGCUCCUAGAACGGCAUACAACCCUGGAUCAAUUUUUGUAUAUGAUCCCAUGGCAAUGGCAAGCAAG